GGUUAAGUGAAUAAGGGCGCACGGUGGAUGCCUUGGCACUAGGAGCCGAUGAAGGACGGGACUAACACCGAUAUGCUUUGGGGAGCUGUAAGUAAGCUAUGAUCCAGAGAUUUCCGAAUGGGGGAACCCAAUAUCUUUUAUAGGAUAUUACUUUUCAGUGAAUACAUAGCUGAUUAGAGGUAGACGCAGAGAACUGAAACAUCUUAGUACCUGCAGGAAGAGAAAGAAAAUUCGAUUCCCUGAGUAGCGGCGAGCGAAACGGGAAGAGCCCAAACCAACAAGCUUGCUUGUUGGGGUUGUAGGACUCCAAUAUGGUAGUCUGUUAGUAUAGUUGAAGGAUUUGGAAAAUUCCGCUAAAGAGGGUGAAAGCCCCGUAGACGAAAUGCUGACAACACCUAGGAGGAUCCUGAGUACGGCGGAACACGAGAAAUUCCGUCGGAAUCCGCGGGGACCAUCCCGCAAGGCUAAAUACUCCCUAGUGACCGAUAGUGAACCAGUACCGUGAGGGAAAGGUGAAAAGCACCCCGGAAGGGGAGUGAAAUAGAUCCUGAAACCGUGUGCCUACAACAAGUCAAAGCUCGUUAAUGAGUGAUGGCGUGCCUUUUGUAGAAUGAACCGGCGAGUUACGAUUGCAUGCGAGGUUAAGUCGAAGAGACGGAGCCGCAGCGAAAGCGAGUCUGAAUAGGGCGAAUGAGUAUGUAGUCGUAGACCCGAAACCAUGUGAUCUACCCAUGUCCAGGUUGAAGGUGCGGUAAAACGCACUGGAGGACCGAACCCACGUACGUUGAAAAGUGCGGGGAUGAGGUGUGGGUAGCGGAGAAAUUCCAAACGAACUUGGAGAUAGCUGGUUCUCUCCGAAAUAGCUUUAGGGCUAGCCUCGGAAUUGAGAAUGAUGGAGGUAGAGCACUGUUUGGACUAGGGGCCCAUCUCGGGUUACCGAAUUCAGAUAAACUCCGAAUGCCAUUCAUUUAUAUCCGGGAGUCAGACUGCGAGUGAUAAGAUCCGUAGUCGAAAGGGAAACAGCCCAGACCACCAGCUAAGGUCCCAAAAUAUAUGUUAAGUGGAAAAGGAUGUGGGGUUGCACAGACAACUAGGAUGUUGGCUUAGAAGCAGCCACCAUUUAAAGAGUGCGUAAUAGCUCACUAGUCGAGUGACCCUGCGCCGAAAAUGUACCGGGGCUAAACAUAUUACCGAAGCUGUGGACUACACCAUUAGGUGUAGUGGUAGGAGAGCGUUCUAAGGGCGUUGAAGGUCGAUCGUGAGGACGGCUGGAGCGCUUAGAAGUGAGAAUGCCGGUAUGAGUAGCGAAAGACAGGUGAGAAUCCUGUCCACCGUAUGACUAAGGUUUCCUGGGGAAGGCUCGUCCGCCCAGGGUUAGUCGGGACCUAAGCCGAGGCCGAUAGGCGUAGGCGAUGGACAACAGGUUGAUAUUCCUGUACCAGUUGUUUUUGUUUGAGCAAUGGAGGGACGCAGUAGGCUAAGGAAUGCAUGCGAUUGGAAGUGCAUGUCCAAGCAAUGAGUCUUGAGUAGAGUUAAAUGCUUUACUCUCUAAGGACAAGUUGUGACGGGGAGCGAAAUAAUAGUAGCGAAGUUCCUGAUGUCACACUGCCAAGAAAAGCUUCUAGUGAGAAAACAACUGCCCGUACCGUAAACCGACACAGGUAGUCGAGGAGAGUAUCCUAAGGUGAGCGAGCGAACUCUCGUUAAGGAACUCGGCAAAAUGACCCCGUAACUUCGGGAGAAGGGGUGCUGACUUCGGUCAGCCGCAGUGAAUAGGCCCAAGCGACUGUUUAUCAAAAACACAGGUCUCUGCAAAAUCGUAAGAUGAAGUAUAGGGGCUGACGCCUGCCCGGUGCUGGAAGGUUAAGAGGAUGGGUUAGCUUCGGCGAAGCUCAGAAUUGAAGCCCCAGUAAACGGCGGCCGUAACUAUAACGGUCCUAAGGUAGCGAAAUUCCUUGUCGGGUAAGUUCCGACCCGCACGAAAGGCGUAACGAUUUGGGCACUGUCUCAACGAGAGACUCGGUGAAAUUUUAGUACCUGUGAAGAUGCAGGUUACCCGCGACAGGACGGAAAGACCCCAUGGAGCUUUACUGUAGUUUGAUAUUGAGUGUUUGUACCACAUGUACAGGAUAGGUAGGAGCCGAUGAGACCGGAACGCUAGUUUCGGAGGAGGCGCUGGUGGGAUACUACCCUUGUGUUAUGAACC
rnacentral:rRNA from 1 species